UCAGGUAACACUGAAUGGAGGACCGAACCGACUUACGUUGAAAAGUGAGCGGAUGAACUGAGGGUAGCGGAGAAAUUCCAAUCGAACCUGGAGAUAGCUGGUUCUCUCCGAAAUAGCUUUAGGGCUAGCCUCAAGUGAUGAUUAUUGGAGGUAGAGCACUGUUUGGACGAGGGGCCCCUCUCGGGUUACCGAAUUCAGACAAACUCCGAAUGCCAAUUAAUUUAACUUGGGAGUCAGAACAUGGGUGAUAAGGUCCGUGUUCGAAAGGGAAACAGCCCAGACCACCAGCUAAGGUCCCAAAAUAUAUGUUAAGUGGAAAAGGAUGUGGCGUUGCCCAGACAACUAGGAUGUUGGCUUAGAAGCAGCCAUCAUUUAAAGAGUGCGUAAUAGCUCACUAGUCGAGUGACACUGCGCCGAAAAUGUACCGGGGCUAAACAUAUUACCGAAGCUGUGGAUUGUCCUUUGGACAAUGGUAGGAGAGCGUUCUAAGGGCGUUGAAGCAUGAUCGUAAGGACAUGUGGAGCGCUUAGAAGUGAGAAUGCCGGUGUGAGUAGCGAAAGACGGGUGAGAAUCCCGUCCACCGAUUGACUAAGGUUUCCAGAGGAAGGCUCGUCCGCUCUGGGUUAGUCGGGUCCUAAGCUGAGGCCGACAGGCGUAGGCGAUGGAUAACAGGUUGAUAUUCCUGUACCACCUAUAAUCGUUUUAAUCGAUGGGGGGACGCAGUAGGAUAGGCGAAGCGUGCGAUUGGAUUGCACGUCUAAGCAGUAAGGCUGAGUAUUAGGCAAAUCCGGUACUCGUUAAGGCU
rnacentral:rRNA from 1 species